GAUGAACGCUGGCGGCGUGCCUAAUACAUGCAAGUCGAGCGAACAGAUGAGGAGCUUGCUCCUCUGACGUUAGCGGCGGACGGGUGAGUAACACGUGGAUAACCUACCUACAAGACUGGGAUAACUUCGGGAAACCGGAGCUAAUACCGGAUAAUAUAUUGAACCGCAUGGUUCAAUAGUGAAAGACGGUUUUGCUGUCACUUAUAGAUGGAUCCGCGCCGCAUUAGCUAGUUGGUAAGGUAACGGCUUACCAAGGCGACGAUGCGUAGCCGACCUGAGAGGGUGAUCGGCCACACUGGAACUGAGACACGGUCCAGACUCCUACGGGAGGCAGCAGUAGGGAAUCUUCCGCAAUGGGCGAAAGCUUGACGGAGCAACGCCGCGUGAGUGAUGAAGGUCUUCGGAUCGUAAAACUCUGUUAUUAGGGAAGAACAAAUGUGUAAGUAACUAUGCACGUCUUGACGGUACCUAAUCAGAAAGCCACGGCUAACUACGUG
rnacentral:rRNA from 1 species